UACAGAGGGUGCGAGCGUUGUUCGGAAUUAUUGGGCGUAAAGGGCGCGUAGGCGGUGCGGUAAGUCACCUGUGAAAUCUCCUGGCUCAACUGGGAGCUUGCAAGCGAAACUGCCGUGCUGGAGUGUGGGAGGAGGUGAGUGGAAUUCCCGGUGUAGGCGGUGAAAUGCGUAGAUAUCGGGAAGGAACACCUGUGGCGAAAGCGGCUACUGGACCACAACUGACGCU
rnacentral:rRNA from 1 species